rnacentral:rRNA from 1 species
AUUGAACGCUGGCGGCAGGCCUUACACAUGCAAGUCGAACGGAGUGGCGAACGGGUGAGUAAUGUCUAGGAAUCUGCCUGGUAGCGGGGGAUAACUACGGGAAACCGUAGCUAAUACCGCAUACUCUUAGAUGAGCCUAGGUCGGAUUAGCUAGUUGGUGGGGUAAAGGCCUACCAAGGCGACGAUCCGUAGCUGGUUUGAGAGGACGAACAGCCACACUGGAACUGAGACACGGCCCAGACUCCUACGGGAGGCAGCAGUGGGGAAUAUUGGACAAUGGGCGAAAGCCUGAUCCAGCCAUGCCGCGUGUGCGAAGAAGGCCUUCGGGUUGUAAAGCACUUUAGGUAGGGAAGCGUUACCUGCAGAAUAAGCACCGGCUAACUACGUGCCAGCAGCCGCGGUAAUAC